rnacentral:rRNA from 1 species
UACGUAGGGGGCAAGCGUUGUCCGGAUUUAUUGGGCGUAAAGCGCUCGCAGGUGGUACAUUGCGUCGUGCGUGAAAGACCCCGGCUCAACUGGGGAGGGUCGUGCGAAACGGGUGAACUAGAGGCCAGUAGGGGGAUGUGGAAUUCCGGGUGUAGUGGUGGAAUGCGUAGAGAUCCGGAGGAACACCAGCGGCGAAGGCGGCAUCCUGGACUGGUCCUGACACUCAGGAGCGAAAGCGUGGGGAGCGAUCCGG